UAUUUCAAAACGCGUGAUAUAUGCUGACAUUAGAACAACAGCUCUCUUGUUAAGUGCCCAUGGACCGUUCGUGCUCUGUAACGGUUGAAUAAUUCACAAGAGCCCAAAGCUUUGAUGACCAUGCAGAGUCAAGAUAUUGUGACAAAGAAUGCCUGCAUUAAGAAGACUGUACACUCAAUUUUUCAGAAUAACAUGUCAGAUUGAAAUCCAUCUUAUGUGGGACUAAACAAUCAGGACAUUCUUCUGGAUCACAGGCACAAAGUAUUGACAAAACCAAAAAUUACCUGGUAAUCUGCAAAUGGAGUGAUCAUUGGAUGAGCCAGACAACACCAUUUCCCUCGGAAAUUUUAGAAUAGAGGCAAUCUCCAUCUUUAUAGAUGACUGAUGUCGACA